rnacentral:tRNA from 1 species
UUUAAUAUGGCAGAAAUAAGUGCAAAGGAUUUAAACUCCUUCAAUAAAGAUUAUAAUCUUUUAUUAAAU